rnacentral:rRNA from 1 species
AUUGAACGCUGGCGGCAUGCCUUACACAUGCAAGUCGAACGGCAGCACGGGAGCAAUCCUGGUGGCGAGUGGCGAACGGGUGAGUAAUAUAUCGGAACGUGCCCAGUCGUGGGGAUAACGUAGCGAAAGCUACGCUAAUACCGCAUACGAUCUACGGAUGAAAGCGGGGGAUCGCAAGACCUCGCGCGAUUGGAGCGGCCGAUAUCAGAUUAGGUAGUUGGUGAGGUAAAGGCUCACCGAGCCGACGAUCUGUAGCUGGUCUGAGAGGACGACCAGCCACACUGGGACUGAGACACGGCCCAGACUCCUACGGGAGGCAGCAGUGGGGAAUUUUGGACAAUGGGCGCAAGCCUGAUCCAGCAAUGCCGCGUGCAGGAUGAAGGCC